GAUGAACGCUGGCGGCGUGCCUAAUACAUGCAAGUCGAGCGAACAGACGAGGAGCUUGCUCCUCUGACGUUAGCGGCGGACGGGUGAGUAACACGUGGAUAACCUACCUAUAAGACUGGGAUAACUUCGGGAAACCGGAGCUAAUACCGGAUAAUAUAUUGAACCGCAUGGUUCAAUAGUGAAAGACGGUUUUGCUGUCACUUAUAGAUGGAUCCGCGCCGCAUUAGCUAGUUGGUAAGGUAACGGCUUACCAAGGCGACGAUGCGUAGCCGACCUGAGAGGGUGAUCGGCCACACUGGAACUGAGACACGGUCCAGACUCCUACGGGAGGCAGCAGUAGGGAAUCUUCCGCAAUGGGCGAGAGCCUGACGGAGCAACGCCGCGUGAGUGAUGAAGGUCUUCGGAUCGUAAAACUCUGUUAUUAGGGAAGAACAAAUGUGUAAGUUACUAUGCACGUCUUGACGGUACCUAAUCAGAAAGCCACGGCUAACUACGUG
rnacentral:rRNA from 1 species